AGCAGCCGCGGUAAUUCCAGCUCCAAUAGCGUAUAUUAAAGUUGUUGCAGUUAAAAAGCUCGUAGUUGAAUUUUAGGCCUGGCCGGGCGGUCCGUCUUUGGCGAGUACUGUCCUGUGUCGGGUCUUCCUUCUGGUGAACCAGCAUGUCCUUUAUUGGGUGUGCUGGGGAGCCAGGACCAUUACCUUGAAAAAAUUAGAGUGUUUAAAGCGGGCUUUUGCUUGAAUAGAUUAGCAUGGAAUAAUAGAAUAGGACGUUGUGGUUCUAUUUUGUUGGUUUCUAGGACCACCGUAAUGAUUAAUAGGGAUAGUUGGGGGCAUUAGUAUUCAAUUGUCAGAGGUGAAAUUCUUGGAUUUAUUGAAGACUAACUAUUGCGAAAGCAUUUGCCAAGGAUGUUUUCAUUAAUCAAGAACGAAAGUUAGGGGAUCGAAGACGAUCAGAUACCGUCGUAGUCUUAACCAUAAACUACGCCGACUAGGAAUCGGGCGACGUUAUUUUCAUGACUCGCUCGGCGCCUUAUGG
rnacentral:rRNA from 1 species